UCCCUGUUGACUCAGCUGGUAAAGAAUCUGCCUACAAUACAGGAAAACCCAGGUUCGAUCCCUGGAUUGGGAA
rnacentral:tRNA from 1 species